GGAGCAGAGACCGGCGCACGGGUGCGUAACGCGUAUGCAAUCUACCUUUCACAGAGGGAUAGCCCAGAGAAAUUUGGAUUAAUACCUCAUAGUAUAGCAGUUUCGCAUGAAACCACUAUUAAAGUCACAACGGUGAAAGAUGAGCAUGCGUCCCAUUAGCUAGUUGGUAAGGUAACGGCUUACCAAGGCAACGAUGGGUAGGGGUCCUGAGAGGGAGAUCCCCCACACUGGUACUGAGACACGGACCAGACUCCUACGGGAGGCAGCAGUGAGGAAUAUUGGACAAUGGGCGCAAGCCUGAUCCAGCCAUGCCGCGUGCAGGAUGACGGUCCUAUGGAUUGUAAACUGCUUUUAUACGAGAAGAAACCCUCCGACGUGUCGGAGCUUGACGGUAUCGUAAGAAUAAGGAUCGGCUAACUCCGUGCCAGCAGCCGCGGUAAUACGGAGGAUCCAAGCGUUAUCCGGAAUCAUUGGGUUUAAAGGGUCCGUAGGCGGUCAGGUAAGUCAGUGGUGAAAGCCCAUCGCUCAACGGUGGAACGGCCAUUGAUACUGUCUGACUUGAAUUAUUAGGAAGUAACUAGAAUAUGUAGUGUAGCGGUGAAAUGCUUAGAGAUUACAUGGAAUACCAAUUGCGAAGGCAGGUUACUACUAAUGGAUUGACGCUGAUGGACGAAAGCGUGGGUAGCGAAC
rnacentral:rRNA from 1 species